UCCGGCUUAUCACCGGCAGUUUCCUUAGAGUGCCCACCAUAACGUGCUGGUAACUAAGGACGAGGGUUGCGCUCGUUGCGGGACUUAACCCAACAUCUCACGACACGAGCUGACGACAGCCAUGCAACACCUGUCUUGGAUCCGGCCGAACCGAAGGGUACUAUAACAUACCCGGUAAUCCAGAUGUCAAAUGGUGGUAAGGUUUUUCGCGUAGCAUCGAAUUAAACCACAUGCUCCACCGCUUGUGCGGGUCCCCGUCAAUUCCUUUGAGUUUUAAUCUUGCGACCGUACUCCCCAGGCGGGGUGCUUAACGCGUUAGCUACGUCACCGAAGCAUAAAGCCCCAAUAACUAGCACCCAUCGUUUACAGCGUGGACUAC
rnacentral:misc_RNA from 1 species